UACGGAGGGUGCAAGCGUUAUCCGGAUUUACUGGGCGUAAAGAGUGCGUAGGCGGUCCUGUAAGUUUGGUGUGAAAUCUCCCGGCUCAACUGGGAGGGUGCGCCGAAGACUGCAGGGCUUGAGUAUGGGAGAGGUAAGCGGAAUUCCUGGUGUAGCGGUGAAAUGCGUAGAUAUCAGGAGGAACACCUGUGGUGUAGACAGCUUACUGGACCAUAACUGACGCUGAGGCACGAAAGCGUGGGUAGCAAACAGG
rnacentral:rRNA from 1 species